CCAGACUCCUACGGGAGGCAGCAGUGAGGAAUAUUGGUCAAUGGGCGUAAGCCUGAACCAGCCAAGUCGCGUGAGGGACGACGGCCCUACGGGUUGUAAACCUCUUUUGCCGGGGGACAAACGGCGGCACGCGUGCCGUCCUGAGGGUACCCGGAGAAAAAGCAUCGGCUAACUCCGUGCCAGCAGCCGCGGUAAUACGGAGGAUGCGAGCGUUAUCCGGAUUUAUUGGGUUUAAAGGGAGCGUAGACGGCGCUGCAAGUCCGGAGUGAAAGUCCAUGGCUUAACCAUGGUACUGCUCUGGAAACUGUGGAGCUUGAGUGCGGGAGGGGCAGGCGGAAUUCCUAGUGUAGCGGUGAAAUGCGUAGAUAUUAGGAGGAACACCGGCGGCGAAGGCGGCCUGCUGGACCGUAACUGACGUUGAGGCUCGAAAGCGUGGGGAGCAAACAGGAUUAGAUACCCCAGUA
rnacentral:rRNA from 1 species